rnacentral:rRNA from 1 species
AUACAUGCAGUCGAGCGGACAGAAGGGAGCUUGCUCCCGGAUGUUAGCGGCGGACGGGUGAGUAACACGUGGGUAACCUGCCUGUAAGACUGGGAUAACUCCGGGAAACCGGAGCUAAUACCGGAUAGUUCCUUGAACCGCANGGUUCAAGGAUGAAAGACGGUUUCGGCUGUCACUUACAGAUGGACCCGCGGCGCAUUAGCUAGUUGGUGGGGUAAUGGCUCACCAAGGCGACGAUGCGUAGCCGACCUGAGAGGGUGAUCGGCCACACUGGGACUGAGACACGGCCCAGACUCCUACGGGAGGCAGCAGUAGGGAAUCUUCCGCAAUGGACGAAAGUCUGACGGAGCAACGCCGCGUGAGUGAUGAAGGUUUUCGGAUCGUAAAGCUCUGUUGUUAGGGAAGAACAAGUGCGAGAGUAACUGCUCGCACCUUGACGGUACCUAACCAGAAAGCCACGGCUAACUACGUGCCAGCAGCCGCGGUAAUACGUAGGUGGCAAGCGUUGUCCGGAAUUAUUGGGCGUAAAGGGCUCGCAGGCGGUUUCUUAAGUCUGAUGUGAAAGCCCCCGGCUCAACCGGGGAGGGUCAUUGGAAACUGGGAAACUUGAGUGCAGAAGAGGAGAGUGGAAUUCCACGUGUAGCGGUGAAAUGCGUAGAGAUGUGGAGGAACACCAGUGGCGAAGGCGACUCUCUGGUCUGUAACUGACGCUGAGGAGCGAAAGCGUGGGGAGCGAACAGGAUUAGAUACCCUGGUAGUCCACGCCGU